AUGCAUAAAUCACCAGGUAACACAGCACACAAACAUCAGGUACUCGGUAACUAUAAUAAAGAAUACCUGCAGGCUACCAGUAUAACUAUGGAAGACUGCAAUGGAACCCAUAAAUCAAGAACAGUUUAGUGAUUGCUACAAAACUCUCGGAAAUCGCUUCAGUGAAGAUGGUGACUACAACGCUAUGCAUGUUACGUACUAAACCAUUCCUAGGAAUGAAAUUGACUAACUGAACGUACCAGAAAAAUGCCCAAUUUGUGCAGAGCGUCAAAACCGUGGAUACUUCAUUUUGUCUGCAUGUGUUAUAAAAAUCUCGUUGUUUGUUGUGCGUCGUUGCGGCUAUAAAAGUAAAAUAAAAGGUGAAAAAAAUUACACAAGAUGCCAAAGCAGAAGAGGGCAGAGUGGUCGGAGGAAAUGAUGGAUUAAGCAUCAACAAAUAUCAAGACACC